rnacentral:rRNA from 1 species
GAUGAACGCUGGCGGCGUGCCUAAUACAUGCAAGUCGAGCGAACAGACGAGGAGCUUGCUCCUCUGUCGUUAGCGGCGGACGUGUGAGUAACACGUGGAUACCCUACCUAUAAGACUGGGAUAACUUCGGGAAACCGGAGCUAAUACCGGAUAAUCUAUUGAACCGCAUGGUUCAAUAGUGAAAGACGGUUUUGCUGUCACUUCUAGAUGGAUCCGCGCCGCAUUAGCUAGUUGGUAAGGUAACGGCUUACCAAGGCAACGAUGCGUAGCCGACCUGAGAGGGUGAUCGGCCACACUGGAACUGAGACACGGUCCAGACUCCUACGGGAGGCAGCAGUAGGGAAUCUUCCGCAAUGGGCGAAAGCUUGACGGAGCAACGCCGCGUGAGUGAUGAAGGUCUUCGGAUCGUAAAACUCUGUUAUUAGGGAAGAACAAAUGUGUAAGUAACUAUGCACGUCUUGACGGUACCUAAUCAGAAAGCCACGGCUAACUACGUG